GACGAACGCUGGCGGCGUGCCUAAUACAUGCAAGUUGAGCGCUGAAGGUUGGUACUUGUACCAACUGGAUGAGCAGCGAACGGGUGAGUAACGCGUGGGGAAUCUGCCUUUGAGCGGGGGACAACAUUUGGAAACGAAUGCUAAUACCGCAUAAAAACUUUAAACACAAGUUUUAAGUUUGAAAGAUGCAAUUGCAUCACUCAAAGAUGAUCCCGCGUUGUAUUAGCUAGUUGGUGAGGUAAAGGCGCACCAAGGCGAUGAUACAUAGCCGACCUGAGAGGGUGAUCGGCCACAUUGGGACUGAGACACGGCCCAAACUCCUACGGGAGGCAGCCGUAGGGAAUCUUCGGCAAUGGACGAAAGUCUGACCGAGCAACGCCGCGUGAGUGAAGAAGGUUGUCGGAUCGUAAAACUCUGUUGGUAGAGAAGAACGUUGGUGAGAGUGGAAAGCUCAUCAAGUGACGGUAACUACCCAGAAAGGGACGGCUAACUACGUG
rnacentral:rRNA from 1 species